UACAGGUCUAUAGUUAGCAGGAUCAAGUUUAUCUCCUGACUUGUACAAAGGCGUGAUUGUUGCUUGCAACCACUCGUAGGGCAAAGUGCCUUGUAAGAAUGAUUUUGUCAUCAUUUUGGCAAGUGGGCCCGAGAACGAAGUAGCACAAGUUCUCAGGAGUUUGGGAGGUAUCUGAUCCGGACCUGGAGCUGUAUUUAAUUUAAUGGCACAGAGUUGGCUUUUUACCAGAUCCGGAGUAAAAUUAAUAUAAGACAACCCACUAAAUGUAGCAGCAAAACUGUCCGCUAAAGUGUUUGCAGUUUCUGUAUGAUCGGAGCAGAGUAGACCUGAAGCAUUUCGUACUAAAGGGACCGACACACGACUAGAGAUAAAUUUACGUACAUGGGAAUAAAAUAGUUUUGGUUUAUUUAAUAUAGAAUUUUCAUAAUUACACCUGGCUAUUUGUAAAUCAGAUUUUAGUUGGUUAGAAAAUCUUUUAUAAGCAGAAAAAUUAUCUUCAGUAGGCUUCCUUUUAAAUUUUUUCCAUAAUUUAGCUUUGUAUUUUAUUUUGUCAAGCAUGUGUUGAUUUAUCCACGGUUUAUCUUUUCUCAGUCGGUUUGUAAACAGUCUGGAAUUUGUUGUAAUGCAAGUUUGUAAAAUCGAUUUAAAAUGUUUCCAUUGUUCUUCCGCAUUUAGUGAAUCUAAACCAUUCCAGUCGUAAGUCAAGAGACUUUCGUCUAUGCGAGUGUAGUCAACAAUUGAUGUUGUUUUAAUUCUUGCAUUUGGCUCUGAAUAUAUCAUAAUUUGUAACUCAA